GACGAACGCUGGCGGCGUGCUUAACACAUGCCAGUCGAACGCUGAAGCUCAGCUUUUGUUGGGUGGAUGAGUGGCGAACGGGUGAGUAACACGUGAGUAACCUGCCUCCUUCUUUGGGAUAACGCCCGGAAACGGGUGCUAAUACUGGAUAUUCACUGGUCUUCGCAUGGGGGUUGGUGGAAAGGGUUUUUCUGGUGGGGGAUGGGCUCGCGGCCUAUCAGCUUGUUGGUGGGGUGAUGGCCUACCAAGGCUUUGACGGGUAGCCGGCCUGAGAGGGUGACCGGUCACAGUGGGACUGAGAUACGGCCCAGACUACUACGGGAGGCAGCAGUGGGGAAUAUGGCAGAAUGGGCGCAAGACUGAUGCAGCGACGGCGCGUGAGGGAUGGAGGCCGUCGGGUUGUGAAACUCUUUCGCUCAUGGUCAAGCCGCAACAAUGGUUGUGGUGAGGGUAGUGGGUAAAGAAGCGCCGGCUAACUACGUG
rnacentral:rRNA from 1 species